GUUAGAACUUGACAAGGGGCGAAUACUUAUGGAAAUGAAUUAUAUGCUGGCAUUUGGGUCUGCAGAGGCUUCUUUGAGAUUAUUGUGGAGAUUCGGACUUCUCGAGAUACUUCUUCCAAUCCAAGCAUCAUAUUUUGUUUCCCAAGGAUUCAGGAGGCGUGAUGCAAGUUCAAAUAUGCUUCUGAUUUUGCUUUCCAACCUUGAUAAAUUUGUG
rnacentral:misc_RNA from 1 species